AUAAAAUAGCAGCGAUUAAAGCUUACUCUGUACUCUACUCUCUACUCCACCACCUCUUCAAACCAAAAAUAACACACACUAAAACACACACACACACACACACACAACUCUCCGACACACUGUCUUGCAAUGGCGACAAAACCGCCGGCCGGCGAUAUUUUCGACCUCGAAUUCCGGUGCUCCGACGACGACGCGUGGUACAGCGUCCGAGCUAUUCUCGUCAGCGGCACGCUAACGAUCCAGUUCGAGAACUUCCCGGAGAUAUCCUUCGGCGUCACCGAGUUCGACUCGCUUGAGCACCUCGACGAGUUCACACGGCGAAUUCGCCCUGUGUCGACUCAGUUGCAGGACAGCGAGUGUUAUAAAAUCGAUAAAGGGAUGAAAGUUUGCGCGUAUUCAAGCUGGAGAGAAGAUGAUCUCCGCUAUUACGAUGCCAUUGUUGAAGCUAUUGAGUUUAAGGAUCAUUUGUUUGAGAAAGGAGAAGAGGAGUGUCUGUGCACCUUUGUGCUAUCCUGGCUGCAUGGUCCCAAUGCGGGUAAUAUGUCUUCUUCAGGUGUUGCAAGCAUAUGCUUAGUGAACACCAAUGCCCCUCUCAAUUCUACAAUAUUGACUUUCUUAAAACUGGCAAAGGAGAACAUAAAAAGGGCUUCGCUUCGAACUCGUUCAGUUUCCAAGAGUUAUUCGACUCCAACAACUACACCAGAUCGUAUCCAGGAAACCAAGGGUGCCUGUCAUUUCCCCGCCGUGGCAAGUUUUCAAAUUGACGAAGAUCGGGAUAUUGGAGGAGUUCCUUUUAACAUGAAUAAAGUUGAGGAACUUGGAAAUCACCACUAUAUUCUAAUUGAUAAUUUGGAGAAAGAUCUAUCCCCAACAUCGGUCAUUGAAUUUAUACGCAAACAAACUUCCAUCACAGCAGAAGCAUAUGUUUUUCCUAGUUUAUUAGCAGAGUCCUAUACAAGAGGGGCCAUAGUGCUGGCUUCGAAAAGAAGUCUUGAGGAGAUAUAUAAAUUCCUAAUCAAUCCUGAUCACGCUAUCGUAUCUUCAACUGGAAGGCCAUGGGUCAUAACUGAGGAGAAAAUGAGGCGUGGAUAUUUCAAAAGUGUAGGGAGUUUGAUGCCAAGAUCUCAGGGCGGAAUCGUCGAGGACAAAUUAAAGGUGGUUCGUGCAGGAACUGAAGAAUUUAGAAAAGCUGCAAGAUUGAAGAAUUUGUUCAAGGACUUCACUGAUCAUCAACGACAACUUCACGAGAGGUUAACUUUAGAGCAUAAUAAGAACUUAUAUCCUUCAAGCGCAUCUUAUCCCGGUGCUGGCUAGAAUCUUUUGCAGAUGGAGCAUACAAAAAGUCAGUUUCUGGUUUAUUACACAAAGCAUAAAAUCGAUAAUGGCGUAAAUCUCGGGGAAGCUCUGUCAAACAGGCUCUAGCUGAUUUUUGUGAUCUCUCAUAUGUGGGGUCACAUUUGUUUGAAGGAAAGCAGGACUGUAAGUAAAGCAUCUCAGUGUCUGAAAUCAAGAAUCUGGAGUUGUACAGAUUAUCAUAUUCCCGCCGAGCGUGAGAAGAUUGUACUUAAAACUUAAAAGAGUUAAAAGAGUUGAACCCAGAUAGUCAGUUAUUGAGGGUCGAGGAUGAUGCAACUGAAGUGGUUGAACCUAGAUUAUGUACUUAAAAGUAAAUCUUUAAUUCUGAAAUUUUUUUAAUAGAAUCUGUCACCUGUAGAAUGUGUAAUUUUUCGUGUAUCAAUUAUUACCGUAUAAUAUUUUUGCUUGUU